rnacentral:rRNA from 1 species
AUGGGCCCUGAUUGUAUCCCCAUUGAGGUGUGGAAAGGCCUCGGGGACAUAGUGAUAGUUUGGCUAACCAAGCUUUUCAACCUCAUUUUUCGGGCAAACAAGAUGCCAGAAGAAUGGAGACGGAGUAUGAGCCUGUUUGGGACUGCUCUGCUCCAGAAAACACAAGCCAAACGGGGUAGCUCCACGAUAUGCCGCUCCGCAAAAAAACUAGAAUCUGGGGUAAAACUCCCAGUUUUUUAUGAAGCUCUUGAGGGGGUGCUCCAAAAAACUCUAGAAGCUGGAGUUGGAGGGAAAUUACCCACCACUGUCACCAGUAAGUGGAUACCCCUUCGUUUCUCCCCCCUCACCCAAUCAAAUAGAUCCUUUCCACCAUAUUUCCCAUUCUUGAAGCUGGAGCUACAUGGAAGCCAAACAUUCUCUUUGGUAGUGCUAGAACUUCUGUAUGAAACUGCUCCAAAGUGGAUUUGA